ensembl:processed_transcript
UCGACUGUGCAAGUGUGCAGAAACAACAUCGUCUCUCCUGUGUAUGCCUUUGUGACUUUCCAUCAUCGACGUGAUGCAGUGCGAGCACAAAAAGCUCUGAACUUCACUCAUUUACUGAAUAAACCUCUGAUCAUCAUGUGGGGCCCAGACAAGACAACUGAGGUCCUCUCAGAUUAUGACAGCAGCUCUCAAAGACAAACAGAGGAGAGAGAGGCAGCUGGAGAAACAGAGGAGAAAAAGACCAGUGGAGAAACAGAGAGAGAAGCAGCUGGAGAAACAGAGGAGAGAGCGAACAGCGAGUCUUCAUGGAGAAGAAGGAUCUCCAACAAUGUGAAAAGUGCUGUGAAAGCCACGGUAAGCAGUCCAGCAACCUGGGUCGGAGUCAGCAUAGGUGUCUGUGCUGCUUAUGCCUACUUCAGGAGCAGGAGCUAGUGUGGACACAUUCUAAAAGACGAGAAGGCCUGCCUCACAAUCUCCACUCAUCAUCCCCAGAGUGACUAAUCACUGCUCCAGAAAGAACUUGAUUUCCCCAGCAGGCCAAACACUUGCAAUAAAUGUGAAUUGAAUAAA